rnacentral:rRNA from 1 species
UACGAGGGGGGGCGAGCGUUGUUCGGAAUUAUUGGGCGUAAAGGGUGCGUAGGCGGCCUGACAAGUCUGAUGUGAAAUCCCUGGGCUCAACCCAGGGCCUGCAUCGGAAACUGUCGGGCUUGAGUAUGGGAGAGGUGAGUGGAAUUUCCGGUGUAGCGGUGAAAUGCGUAGAUAUCGGAAGGAACACCUGUGGCGAAAGCGGCUCACUGGACCAUUACUGACGCUGAGGCACGAAAGCUAGGGGAGCAA